AUUGAACGCUGGCGGCAGGCUUAACACAUGCAAGUCGAACGAGUGGCGGACGGGUGAGUAAUGCUUGGGAAUCUCGCUUAUGGAGGGGGAUAACUACGGGAAACUGUAGCUAAUACCGCGUACCAUAGGAUGAGCCCAAGUGGGAUUAGGUAGUUGGUGAGGUAAAGGCCCACCAAGCCGACGAUCUCUAGCUGGUCUGAGAGGAUGACCAGCCAAACUGGGACUGGGACACGGCCCAGACUCCUACGGGAGGGAGCAUGGGGGAAUCUUCCGCAAUUGACGAAAGGUUAAGGAGCAACGCCGCGGGAGUGAUGACGGCCUUCGGGUUGUAAAGCUCGUUAAGCGGGACGACGGUACCGGAAGAGAAAGCAACGGCUAACUACGUGCCAGCAGCCGCGGUAAUAC
rnacentral:rRNA from 1 species